rnacentral:misc_RNA from 1 species
UCUCCGUUGGUGAACCAGCGGAGGGAUCAUUACAGAGUUGCAAAACUCCCAAACCAUUGUGAACGUUACCUAUCCCGUUGCUUCGGCGGGCGGCCCGGGCCCCGUGCCCAGCGCCCCCCGGCCCCCCGUGGGCGCCCGCCGGAGGUAAACCAAACCCUUGAAUUGUAUGGCCUCUCUGAGUCUUCUGUACUGAAUAAGUCAAAACUUUCAACAACGGAUCUCUUGGUUCUG